UACGGAGGGUGCAAGCGUUGUCCGGAAUCACUGGGCGUAAAGGGCGCGUAGGCGGCCUGGUAAGUAGGGGGUGAAAAUCCUGCGGCUUAACCGCAGGGCUGCCUUCUAAACUGUCAGGCUUGAGCACGGUAGAGGCAGAUGGAAUUCCCGGUGUAGCGGUGGAAUGCGUAGAGAUCGGGAAGAACAUCAGUGGCGAAGGCGGUCUGCUGGGCCGCAACUGACGCUGAGGAGCGAAAGCAUGGGGAGCGAACAGG
rnacentral:rRNA from 1 species